rnacentral:rRNA from 1 species
UACGUAGGUGGCUAGCGUUGUCCGGAUUUACUGGGCGUAAAGAGCGCGCAGGCGGUCGUUCAAGUCGAGUGUGAAAGCCCCCGGCUCAACUGGGGAGGGUCACUCGAUACUGAUCGACUUGAAGGCGGGAGAGGGAAGCGGAAUUCCCGGUGUAGUGGUGAAAUGCGUAGAUAUCUGGAGGAACACCGGUGGCGAAGGCGGCAUCCUGGACCGGCAUUGACGCUGAGGCGCGAAAGCUAGGGGAGCAAACGGG